rnacentral:rRNA from 1 species
AGUGAACGCUGGCGGUAGGCCUAACACAUGCAAGUCGAACGGCAGCACAGUAAGAGCUUGCUCUUACGGGUGGCGGGUGGCGGACGGGUGAGGAAUACAUCGGAAUCUACUUUUUCGUGGGGGAUAACGUAGGGAAACUUACGCUAAUACCGCAUACGACCUACGGGUGAAAGCAGGGGAUCUUCGGACCUUGCGCGAUUGAAUGAGCCGAUGUCGGAUUAGCUAGUUGGCGGGGUAAAGGCCCACCAAGGCGACGAUCCGUAGCUGGUCUGAGAGGAUGGUCGGCCGCACUGGAACUGAGACACGGUCCAGGCGCCUACGGGAGGCAGCAGUGGGGAAUAUUGGACAAUGGGCGCAAGCCUGGUCCAGCCAUACCGCGUGGGUGAAGAAGGCCUUCGGGUUGUAAAGCCCUUUUGUUGGGAAAGAAAAGCAGCAGGUUAAUACCCCGCUGUUCUGACGGUACCCAAAGAAUAAGCACCGGCUAACUUCGUG